GCUCAGUGGUUAAGAGCACUGGUUGCUCUUCCAGAGGACCUGGGUUCAAUUCCCAG
rnacentral:tRNA from 1 species